rnacentral:rRNA from 1 species
AACGAACGCUGGCGGCAGGCCUAACACAUGCAAGUCGAGCGCGUAGCAAUACGAGCGGCAGACGGGUGAGUAACGCGUGGGAAUCUACCCAUCCCUACGGAACAACUCCGGGAAACUGGAGCUAAUACCGUAUACGCCCUAACGGGGAAAGAUUUAUCGGGGAUGGAUGAGCCCGCGUUGGAUUAGCUAGUUGGUGGGGUAAAGGCCUACCAAGGCGACGAUCCAUAGCUGGUCUGAGAGGAUGAUCAGCCACAUUGGGACUGAGACACGGCCCAAACUCCUACGGGAGGCAGCAGUGGGGAAUAUUGGACAAUGGGCGCAAGCCUGAUCCAGCCAUGCCGCGUGAAUGAUGAAGGCCUUAGGGUUGUAAAGUUCUUUCACCGGAGAAGAUAAUGACGGUAUCCGGAGAAGAAGCCCCGGCUAACUUCGUGCCAGCAGCCGCCGUAA